rnacentral:rRNA from 1 species
GAGGAAUAUUGGUCAAUGGACGCAAGUCUGAACCAGCCACGUCGCGUGAAGGAAGACGGCCCUACGGGUUGUAAACUUCUUUUGCAAGGGAAUAAAGUGGGCCACGUGUGGCCUUUUGCAUGUACCUUGCGAAUAAGGAUCGGCUAACUCCGUGCCAGCAGCCGCGGUAAUACGGAGGGUGCAAGCGUUAUCCGGAUUUAUUGGGUUUAAAGGGUGCGUAGGCGGUUUGAUAAGUCAGCGGUGAAAUAUUUCAGCUUAACUGGAAGGGUGCCGUUGAUACUGUCGAGCUUGAAUUUAGUUGCUGUGGGUGGAAUGUGUGGUGUAGCGGUGAAAUGCAUAGAUAUCACACAGAAUAUCGAUUGCGAAGGCAGCUCACAAAGCUGAUAUUGACGCUGAUGCACGAAAGUGUGGGGAUCAAAC